GCCGGAUUAGCUCAGUUGGUAGAGCGGCUGAUUUGUAAUCAGUAGGUCGUUGGUUCAAGUCCGACAUCCGGCACCA
rnacentral:tRNA from 1 species